AAUUGUCCUUUUUGGGUGAAAUUGUCAUUUUUGAAAUGGUAAUCUCUCGCUUUUGCUAACUGUCCUCAAGUGUUCACAAUAGAAUGCCGUUCCAGUGGAUGACUCUAGAGCAUGACAUCACAUCCUGUUGCCCAUAUUUGUUGCAGGGUCAGCUGCUACUCUAAUCACACACCUGAAACGGCUAAUCAAGGUUUUUGGGUUCACUAGAAAAUUAUAGUCAGGUGUGUUAGCAGACGGAGAGCAGCCAAUUCAGAUCUUCAGGAUUGAGCACUCCUGCUCUAAUGCAUAAUGCAUGCGCUUUUGUUCUUGAGUAAUGAAUGCAUGCAUGCACACACUCACAUCACUUAAUCAAAGCAGAAUGACUCAUUGUGACACUGCUGACGAACAAUGGCACAGGUUCUCGCAAAGCACACCUGCCCAUUAUCUACAUGUAACUGCAUUUGAAAAUGACAGUGCAA